rnacentral:rRNA from 1 species
GACGUGGGGGGCCAGCGUUGCUCGGAGUUACUGGGCGUAAAGGGUGUGUAGGCGGUCUUCUAAGUUUGGUGUGAAAUCUCCCGGCUCAACUGGGAGGGUGCGCCGAAUACUGAAAGACUCGAGUGCGGGAGAGGAGAGUGGAAUUCCUGGUGUAGCGGUGAAAUGCGUAGAUAUCAGGAGGAACACCGGUGGCGAAGGCGGCGUCCUGGGCCGGUCCUG